CUACGGGGCGCAGCAGUGGGGAAUAUUGGACAAUGGGGGCAACCCUGAUCCAGCAAUGCCGCGUGUGUGAAGAAGGCCUGCGGGUUGUAAAGCACUUUCAAUAGGGAGGAAAAGCUUUGGGUUAAUACCCCGAAGUCUUGACGUUACCUUUAGAAGAAGCACCGGCUAACUCUGUGCCAGCAGCCGCGGUAAUACAGAGGGUGCGAGCGUUAAUCGGAAUUACUGGGCGUAAAGCGCGCGUAGGCGGUUUGAUAAGUCAGAUGUGAAAGCCCCGGGCUUAACCUGGGAACUGCAUUUGAUACUGUCAAACUAGAGUAUGGUAGAGGGUAGUAGAAUUCCUGGUGUAGCGGUGAAAUGCGUAGAUAUCAGGAGGAAUACCAGUGGCGAAGGCGGCUACCUGGACCAAUACUGACGCUGAGGUGCGAAAGCGUGGGGAGCAAACAGGAUUAGAUACCCCCGUAGUC
rnacentral:rRNA from 1 species